GCGCGAGUGGCGGAAUUGGCAGACGCGCUGGCUUCAGGUGCCAGUGCCCGCAAGGGCGUGGGGGUUCAAGUCCCCCCUCGCGCACGAACG
rnacentral:tRNA from 1 species